UGCGGAGGGUGCAAGCGUUAUCCGGAUUCACUGGGUUUAAAGGGUGCGUAGGUGGGCAAGUAAGUCAGUGGUGAAAUCUCCGGGCUUAACCCGGAAACUGCCAUUGAUACUAUUUGUCUUGAAUACUGUGGAGGUCAGCGGAAUAUGUCAUGGUAGCGGUGGAAAUGCUUAGAUAUGACAUAGAACACCAAUUGCGAAGGCAGCUGGCUACACAAAUAUUGACACUGAGGCACGAAAGCGUGGGGAUCAAACAGG
rnacentral:rRNA from 1 species